CAACCAGCCCAAGGAACAUCUCACCCAUUUCAAAUUGGGUAAGCGGUCUUUUCACUGUCUUCUCCAGCCUCUCUUGCUACCCUUCAAUCUCCCUGUCCUUCCAAUUCCAGUUCUCUUUCCUCUCUAGUAGAGACAAAGGAGACGCAUUUUAUCCAUGGACCCAAAACUCAGACACCAGUCACGGACUCGGGAAGAUAGUCUUCCCUUGGCGUCUGAUCAUUGUGGGGAUGCCUGCCCUGAUCAUUCACCCACAUUCCAUUGGUGUCUGAUCACUGUGGGGACACCUGCCAUGGUCAUUCACCCACAUUCCCUUGAUGGCAAGUCAAUCGCGGGAUGCCUGCUUUGGCUGAUCGUCCACGUUAUAGCCCAGGGCUGCUCACCACCCCCUUUGCUGUGUCUCUACCUUUCUCUUUAAACUUACUUCUUCACUGUGGGCAACCUUCCACCCUGCAUUCCCCCUUCUUCUCCCUUAGCCUGUGUUCUCAAGAACUUAAAACCUCUUCAACUCACACCUGACCUAAAACCUAAAUGCCUUAUUUUCUUCUGCAAUACCGUUUGGCCCUAAUACAAACCCAACAAUGGUUCCAAAUGGCCAGAAAACGGCACUUUUGAUUUCUCCAUCUUACAAGAUCUAGAUGAUUUUUGUCGAAAAAUGGGGAAAUAGUCUGAGGUGCCUGACAUCCAGGCAUUCUUUUACACAUCAGUCCCUCCCUAGUCUCUGCUCCCAAUGUGACUUGUCCCAAAUCUUUCUUCUUUCUCUCCUGUCUGUUUCUUCAGUCUCCACCCCAAGCUCUGAGUCCUUUGAAUUCUCCUUUUCUACAGACCCAUCUGACCUCUUCCCUCCUCCCCAGGCUGCUGCUCACCAGCCAGGCCAAGCCAGGUCCUGAUUCUUCCUCACCCUCUGCUCCCCCACCCUAUAAUCCUUUUAUCACCUCCCCUCCUCACACCUGGUCCAGCUUACAGUUUCAUUCCAUGACUAGCUCUCCCCAACCUGCCCAAAAAUUUCCUCUUAAAGAGGUGGCUGGAGCUGAAGGUACAGUCAAGGUUAAUGCUCCUUUUUCUUUAUCCAACCUCUCCCAAAUGAGUUAGCAUUUAGGCUUUUUUUUUUUUUUUUUUAUCAAAUAUAAAAACCCAGCCCAGUUCAUGGCCCAUUUGGCAACAACCCUUAGACACUUUACUGUCCUAGACCCAGAGAGGCCAGAAGGCCGUCUUAUUCUCAAUAUGCAUUUUAUUAGUCAAUCCACUCCUGACAUUAACAAAGCUCCAAAAAUUAGAUUCUGGCCCUCAAACCCCACAACAGGACUUAAUUAACCUCGCCUUCAAGGUGUACAAUAAUAGAGAAGAGGCAGCCAAGUGGCAACAUAUUUCUGAGUUGCAAUUACUUGCCUCCACUAUGAGAGAAGCCCCAGCCACAUCUCCAGCACACAAGAACUUCAAAAUGCCUGAACUGCAGUGGCCAGGUGUUCCUCCAGGACCUCCUCCCCCAGGAUCUUGCUUCAAGUGCUAGAAAUCUGGCCACUGGGCCAAGGAAUGCCUGCAGCCCGGGAUUCCUCCUAAGCCAUGUCCCAUCUGUGCGGGACCCCACUGGAAACCGGACUGUCCAACUCGCCCAGCAGCCACUCCCAGAGCCCCUGGAAUUCUGGCCCAAGGCUCUCUGACUGACUCCUUCCCAGAUCUUCUUGGCUUAGUGGCUGAAGACUGACGUGGCUCAAUUAUCUCAGAAGCCUCCUGGACCAUCACAGAUGCUUUCGGUAACUCUUACAGUGGAGGAAGACAGGAAAUGUCAGACCUCUGAGCCCAAGCCUGCAAGUAUACAUCCAGAUGGCCUGAAGCAACUGAAGAACCACAAAAGAAGUGAAAAUAGCCAGUUCCUGCCUUAACUGAUGACAUUCCACCAUUGUGAUUUGUUCCUGCCCCACCUUAACUGAUCAAUUAACCUUGUGACAUUCCUUCUCCUAGACAAUGAGUCUCAGAACCUCCCCACUGAGCACCUUGUAACCCCUGCCCCUGCCUGCAAGAGAAUAACCCACUUUGACUGUAAUUUUCCACUACCUACCCAAAUCUUAUAAAACUGCCCCACCCCAUCUCCCUUUGCUGACUCCUUUUUCGGACUCAGUCUGCCUGCACCCAG
rnacentral:lncRNA from 1 species